rnacentral:rRNA from 1 species
AUGAUGUUUCCAGCCGGUUUUUUCCGGUUUUGGGAACCUUCUAGAAGAUUCCUGAACCGUCUUUUUCUUUUUCAGUUUCUUUUUCGUUUUUCUUUUUCUAUUUAUCUUCUUUUUCUUUUUUCUUUUCUUUUUUCUGUUUCUUUUUUUCUGUUUCCUUUUUUCUGUUUUCUUUUCUUUUAUCUUUUUUUCCUUUUCAAGUUUAUUUCAACAAAAAUCCGAAUUCCAAAAAAUGUUCCUGUUUUUCAGAUUUUGUUCAUAAAUUCAAAAAAUGUUCCCAUUUUACAAAAUUUGUUCAUAAACUCAAAAAAUGUUUCGGGUUUCAAAAUUUUUGUUCCGAAUUUUCAGAAAAUGUUCUUGUUUUUUCAAAAAAUGUUCGAAUUACCUUUUUCCAUUUUUUAA